rnacentral:lncRNA from 1 species
GUGCUAGAAACACACACAUUUUUAAAGAGUGAUGGCCUGUAGGGAGUACAAAGAGAUAUCACCUUAGAUCUUUGUGGUUUUAUUUUUUAACUGUGAGUAUAUACUAGAGUCACAGUAAGAAGAAAAAACUUAAAACAGAAAUUUAGGUGGUAAGAAGUCUAAGGGAUAAGGUAUAAAAGCAAUAUAUACUAUAAAAAGUAGAUCAUGAUCCCACUUUUACUGAAGAUUAUCAUUAAUAUGUCAGUGUNNNNNNNNNNNNNNNNNNNNNNNNNNNNNNNNNNNNNCUAUUUUUUUAAAAUAUUUUCUUUUUUAAAAAUAAUAAAAUUUGUUAUUUUUGUUGCUAACAGAUUAUUGGUUUUAUAUUAUUAAUUUCUAUAAUAUAUGAAAUUUUAUGACUGUAUAUUUUUAUUCUUUUUGAAUGCACAAAGUUAAAUAAGUAUAUAUUUUAAAUCUACACAGAGCAAAAUGGAAACAUUUAAUAUCAACCCACAGAAUCAGAAUUAGAGAACAGAGAACUAAACAAGACAUCACAGAUUAUUCUAACCAACACUUACAUAUAAUCAAAUGAGGCCAGAGAAAAGAACUUGUCCAUGACUAGUCAACAGCAAAAACAAACAAACAAACAAACAAAAAGAACACACGGGUACCCUAAUUCCUAAUUCAGGGUUAUAUAUAACCUCUUUAAAUUAGCAUUUUCCAACUACGAUUCACAGAAUACAGUUGAGAAAUUUAGACUUAGGGGCAUAAUUGUGACACUGAGUCCAGAUAUUUUAUUGUUGUCUAGUUUAAAUGCUAAAUUCUUUACUUUUUAAAGAUUAAAAUAGGAUAUCAGUUUCUCAUUAAAAUGGCUUUUCAGAUUUCUUUCAACUAACGGAAGCAAGCAGAGAUGAAAAGGCAAAACUUAAGCUUUCUCAGUUUACAAAUACUAGUCUGCCACCACUUCCUAUCUUUUAAGACACACCUUUUCUACACCGAAAUUCUAUCCUAUAAAUCUCACAUGCUCUUAUGUAAUAGAAGAUACGACAUAAUACAACUAACAAAGAGUUCAGGAGUUCUGUUACUGGAACAACAGAGUACAUACCUCUUAGAUCAACUAAUGAAAAGCUUUAAAAAUAGGAUUGAUUUCUAUAAACCAGAAGAAGACAUCUUUCAAAAAUACAAAGUCUUUGUUUAUUCAAAGCUAAGUAAUUAA